AUUGAACGCUGGCGGCAUGCUUUACACAUGCAAGUCGAACGGUAGCAGGCCGCAAGGUGCUGACGAGUGGCGAACGGGUGAGUAAUGCAUCGGAACGUGCCCAGUCGUGGGGGAUAACUACUCGAAAGAGUAGCUAAUACCGCAUACGAUCUAUGGAUGAAAGCGGGGGACCGUAAGGCCUCGCGCGAUUGGAGCGGCCGAUGUCAGAUUAGGUAGUUGGUGGGGUAAAGGCUCACCAAGCCAACGAUCUGUAGCUGGUCUGAGAGGACGACCAGCCACAUUGGGACUGAGACACGGCCCAGACUCCUACGGGAGGCAGCAGUGGGGAAUUUUGGACAAUGGGCGCAAGCCUGAUCCAGCAAUGCCGCGUGCAGGAAGAAGGCCUUCGGGUUGUAAACUGCUUUUGUACGGAACGAAACGGCUCUGGUUAAUACCCGGGGCUAAUGACGGUACCGUAAGAAUAAGCACCGGCUAACUACGUG
rnacentral:rRNA from 1 species